GACGAACGCUGGCGGCGUGCUUAACACAUGCAAGUCGAACGGAAAGGCCCUGCUUUUGUGGGGUGCUCGAGUGGCGAACGGGUGAGUAACACGUGAGUAACCUGCCCUUGACUUUGGGAUAACUUCAGGAAACUGGGGCUAAUACCGGAUAGGAGCUCCUGCUGCAUGGUGGGGGUUGGAAAGUUUCGGCGGUUGGGGAUGGACUCGCGGGUUAUCAGCUUGUUGGGGGGGCAGUGGCUUACCAAGGCUUUGACGGGUAGCCGGCCUGAGUGGGUGACCGGCCACAUUGGGACUGAGAUACGGCCCAGACUCCUACGGGAGGCAGCAGUGGGGAAUAUUGCACAAUGGGCGGAAGCCUGAUGCAGCAACGCCGCGUGCGGGAUGACGGCCUUCGGGUUGUAAACCGCUUUCGCCUGUGACGAAGCGUGAGUGACGGUAAUGGGUAAAGAGGCACCGGCUAACUACGUG
rnacentral:rRNA from 1 species